rnacentral:lncRNA from 1 species
CAACAGCUGUCUUUGCAAAUCCUGUCACUCAGGAUUGGAAUGGUUCUACAUAAUCAAGAAUGGAGUGGUGAGGCUGAGAUUGUUGGCUGGCUCGAGGUAGCAGAUACAGAAAUGCUGACCAUCGCAAUGCACAGGAAUGCCCUAGGAUGGCGGCCAAAGCCUUCCGUCUCCCACCCAGCCCAUUUUCCUAACAAAUGUGCGCAUUUAACAUUGUUUUUCAUCCCCAAGAAUGGGGUAUCAAUAGAAUCUACAAGACCAAGACUUAAAUGAAAUGAAUCAACAGUAACACAAACAGUAGCAAUUUUCAAUUAGAAAUUUAAGGAAAGCUUCAUAAAAUGUUCAUAGAAUUCUGUCUCAAUUCACCUAGCCCAUUUCAACUGUAGCGUAGACGUCUGUUGUUAACAGC